UCGUCACGUAGCUCACUGGCUUUCCCGCCCCCACAUAGGCACUCGUUAACGCUCAUGUAACUCUUUUAGUACAUUAGGUUGUUCAUUUACGACUGAAAUAUGUGUUUUAUUUCGUCAUUUUGGAAUUUCGGUUAGCAAGGCUACCGCUAGUUGUGAGCAGCUAGCUUGCUAGCUCACAUGGCUAAUCAAAAAGGUAUGAAACCAACAAUAAGGACAUGACGGUUGUAAGCAGGUCAAGUUAAGUAGCAGGCGGUCUCAGUGUCACAGUAAGCGUACGACCUCAAGUGGUCGUCAUGGCAAUCCCGACGACUGAUCG